rnacentral:lncRNA from 1 species
GCUGAAGUGAUUGACUCUUAGUUUCUUCCCCCGUCAGCGAAAUUUAAACGCAAACUGUUUAAUCUCCCGGAUGGAGAGAGAGGGAAGGCGGGCAUGGCACUGGGAUGUUCUUGCCCUUAAAACUACGCGCCCUGUGGACCCGGAAAGAGAACACAUUCCCUCACAAAGAGAUGAACCCCGCUUCCUGCUGCACAGCAGCUGGCCAUUUUGACGAAGACUUCGUCCUGUGAAGCUAAUACCUGGAUCAUCUAAGAUUUCAGGACUUUAAGGCCAGCAGUUGGAGGGAUUUGCUGCUAGCCCAGUUAAAUUUAAAAGGUGAGUGCAUGCUUUCAUGUAGAGCUCACUCUGAUGGGAGAGGGUCAUUGUCAUUUUAAAUAACCAUUUACAUCCAGUACAGCAUUAUUUCUUUCCAAUUAAU